UAGAUAGAGAAACGAACAGCUCCUAAAAUCUGGAUGGAUCAUUUGGAUGGAUCACAUAGAUGGAACAGCUGAAUGGAGAUCGUAGAUGGAGAAACUAACAGCCUCUUACUCUUUAAAGUCUUGGUUGCUUAUGUUUCUGUUGAGGAUACUAGUCUGGUUAAAGAAGGGAGUGGAGGACACACAUUCAACUUAGCUACAGAGCCUCUUUGAAAGAGACUGAAGAACCAAAAUCUAUAGUUCCUUCUGGAGGAUCAAGGAAUGCAAGUUUCCAGGAAG